rnacentral:rRNA from 1 species
AACGGCAGCACGGGAGCAAUCCUGGUGGCGAGUGGCGAACGGGUGAGUAAUAUAUCGGAACGUGCCCAGUCGUGGGGGAUAACGUAGCGAAAGCUACGCUAAUACCGCAUACGAUCUACGGAUGAAAGCGGGGGAUCGCAAGACCUCGCGCGAUUGGAGCGGCCGAUAUCAGAUUAGGUAGUUGGUGAGGUAAAGGCUCACCAAGCCGACGAUCUGUAGCUGGUCUGAGAGGACGACCAGCCACACUGGGACUGAGACACGGCCCAGACUCCUACGGGAGGCAGCAGUGGGGAAUUUUGGACAAUGGGCGCAAGCCUGAUCCAGCAAUGCCGCGUGCAGGAUGAAGGCCUUCGGGUUGUAAACUGCUUUGUACGGAACGAAACGGUGAGCUCUAAUACAGUUUGCUAAUGACGGUACCGUAAGAAUAAGCACCGGCUAACUACGUG